rnacentral:misc_RNA from 1 species
CUUGCUGAAUUUCCGUCGCUUUCUUUCCUUCUUUAUGUUUCUUUCGUUUCCUUGAGGUGGAGGGAAGAGAAUGGAGGGAUAAGGACGGAGGUGAAAAGGAAUGGGUCCGGCAAGAUCAAGGUUUUUAGGGUUUUGUUUUUGGGAUUGAACAGAGGAAGAAGAAAGAGAGGGAAGAGAGAGAGAGAGAGGAGAGAGAGGAAGAGAGGAGUAAUGAGUAAUUUUG